AGCUCAGUUGGGAGAGCGUCAGACUGAAGAUCUGAAGGUCUCUGGUUCAAUCCGGGGAGUUUGUA
rfam:Nematostella vectensis strain CH2 x CH6 NEMVEscaffold_164_Cont16536, whole genome shotgun sequence.